rnacentral:rRNA from 1 species
GAUCAUGGCUCAGGACGAACGCUGGCGGCGUGCCUAACACAUGCAAGUCGAGCGAGGAGAUCCUCGGGAUGAUCCUAGCGGCGGACGGGUGAGUAACACGUGGGCAACCUGCCUCAUAGAGAGGAAUAGCCUUCCGAAAGGGAGAUUAAUACCUCAUAACAUUGCAGUUUCGCAUGGAACAGCAAUUAAAGGAGUAAUCCGCUAUGAGGUGGGCCCGCGGCGCAUUAGCUAGUUGGUGAGGUAACGGCUCACCAAGGCGACGAUGCGUAGCCGACCUGAGAGGGUGAUCGGCCACAUUGGGACUGAGACACGGCCCAGACUCCUACGGGAGGCAGCAGUGGGGAAUAUUGCACAAUGGGGGAAACCCUGAUGCAGCCAACGCCGCGUGAGUGAUGACGGCCUUCGGGUUGUAAAGCUCUGUCUUCAGGGACGAUAAUGACGGUACCUGAGGAGGAAGCCACGGCUAACUACGUGCCAGCAGCUGC